rnacentral:rRNA from 1 species
UACGAAGGGGGCUAGCGUUGCUCGGAAUUACUGGGCGUAAAGCGCACGUAGGCGGACUGUCCAGUCAGGGGUGAAAUCCCGGGGCUCAACCUCGGAACUGCCUUUGAUACUGUCAGUCUAGAGUCCGGAAGAGGUGGGUGGAACUCCUAGUGUAGAGGUGAAAUUCGCAGAUAUUAGGAAGAACACCGGUGGCGAAGGCGGCCCACUGGUCCGGUACUGACGCUGAGGUGCGAAAGCGUGGGGAGCAAACAGG